rnacentral:tRNA from 1 species
GCGCCCGUAGCUCAAUCGGUAGAGCAUCCGGCUCAUAACCGGCUGGUUCGGGGUUCGAUACCCUGCGGGCGCACCA